rnacentral:pre_miRNA from 1 species
UAUAUACUCUCUCCGUCCCAUGUUAAGUGACUUUCUAUUACAUACAUCUAGACGCUUUUUAGGUAUAGAUAGAUCCAUAUUUGGGCAAAUUUGAGUCACUUAAUGUGGGACGGAGGGAGUAGUUA